rfam:Sorghum bicolor cultivar BTx623 chromosome 2, whole genome shotgun sequence.
GUAGUCGGAUUUGUAUCGAUCCAUAUAUGUUGGGGUGGAUUGGAGUAGAACUUAAACUAAAUUCCACACUAAUCCACACCAACACAUGUGGAUUGAGGUGAAUUUGAUA